GACGUAGGGCGCGAGCGUUGUCCGGAUUUAUUGGGCGUAAAGAGCUCGUAGGCGGCUUGUUGCGUCGACCGUGAAAACCCGGGGCUCAACUUCGGGCUUGCGGUCGAUACGGGCGGGCUAGAGUUCGGUAGGGGAGACUGGAAUCCCUGGUGUAGCGGUGAAAUGCGCAGAUAUCAGGAGGAACACCGGUGGCGAAGGCGGGUCUCUGGGCCGAUACUGACGCUGAGGAGCGAAAGCGUGGGGAGCGAACAGG
rnacentral:rRNA from 1 species